UGUGUGUGUGUGUGUGUGUGUGUGUUUUUGUAUAUAUGUAUGGAAUCGUAAAAUAUAAUUGCCAAUUAGAUGUGGCGGUCCCAUAGGAGACGAUGCUACUGUUGUUUUUAGCCCCAGGAGAACAUUUCCUCCAGCUGGCUAACGAUACACCGUCUGUGGCUGAUUAGUAUUUGUGAGGGGAA